CCUACGGGGGGCAGCAGUGGGGGAUAUUGCACAAUGGGGGAAACCCUGAUGCAGCGACGCCGCGUGUGGGAAGACGGUCCUCUGGAUUGUAAACCACUGUCCCCAGGGACGAAGAUGACGGUACCUGGGGAGGAAGCUCCGGCUAACUACGUGCCAGCAGCCGCGGUAAUACGUGGGGGGCGAGCGUUGUCCGCAUUUACUGGGUGUAAAGGGAGCGUAGGCGGGACUGCAAGUUGGGUGUCAAAUCUACCGGCUCAACAGGUAGCCGCACUGAAAACUGCAGUUCUUGAGUGAAGUAGAGGCAGGCGGAAUUCCUAGUGUAGCGGUGAAAUGCGUAGAUAGUAGGAGGAACACCAGUGGCGAAGGCGGACUGCUGGGCUUUUACUGACGCUGAGGCUCGAAAGUGUGGGGAGCGAACAGGAUUAGAUACCCCUGUAGUC
rnacentral:rRNA from 1 species